GGUCUAAUUAUUUAGGAUUUAUAA
rnacentral:tRNA from 1 species